UUCGAGAUUCUCACUGGAAUCA
rnacentral:snRNA from 1 species